GGAUCUUGUCUCUGUUGGUGUUGCUGAUAAUAGUGUUGACAGCCUCUGCUCUUGUCUUGAGACCAAAUCGGUCCAACCUCAUCGCUCAAGGGAGGCCAAAGCCCAAGUGGCGCAGCUUGGGUGAACCCAGUGUUCCUAUUGAAUAUGUUUAUAAUACAGAAAGGUAAGUCAGCUGCUUAUUGUUGAGGUUUCUUGAUGUUUGUCAAAGGGAGUAGGUUUGGACAAGAAUACUGGGGAUGCACUGACAUUACAAUUCUGACAACUUAGCCAAUAUAUACUGUAUGAAGAAUUACUUUAAAGGAUACACAUACAUUUAGCCAUCACAACAUUAUAAUGUAUACAGUAGUAUCAAACAUAGACAUUAAUUUUGAGAUUUGAUAAAGAUUAUGUUUAACAGUGUUGUUAUUUGUGUUGCUAAUAUUAAUGUUGUAGUGUGGAAGACUCUGAGCUACUAGGUCUGAGAGGGGUGGGAGAGGGAGCAGAAUCAGAGGAACCUGCUGUUUGCAAAGGAGGUACAGUAACUGACAAUCAUCUGAAAUGCCUGACAAUGGAUACAUAUACAAAAACGCUUCUGAAUUCUUUCAAAUCCCAUGUUGAUGUGAAGUUUUCAGAACUACACUAAUGGAGCUGGAGGAGUUUAAUGUGAAAACGCUGUAUGACAAGUUAGAGGAUCAGAAUUUACAUCUGGCAACACAGCUGGCAAAGCACCGCAAAGACACACAGGAGUUUUACAGGAACAUGUGCCAGCAAAUUGAUGCUCUGAGGGACACACUAGAAAAUAUGGAACCUUCAAAACUGAACCAGCUGAAAAAAAUACUAGACAAUGAAGUUCUGAUGAAAAGAGAAACUGCUCAUGGUGAGACAGAAGUUUGCUGUAACUCCAGCCUUACGUGUGUACUGUAUAUACAGACUUAAACAGUCACAGGUCUGUGAAAGUAUUUGUGUUUGCACCAGAGCCGUGGAUGGGGCUGAUGGAGGCCGUGCUGAGAUCUUUGGAGGGAGUGCUGUGCAGAAUGAAUGGGGAGGUCUGGCAGCAACAGGACAGCACAGCAACAUACAGCCACAGAGACACUCGAGAGAGUGAACUUCACACCCGAUACACUCAGUUUUCUCCUGCAGACAUGUCAGAGUUUAAAGUGGGUGCAGACACAGAGGCAGCUUCCUCAGAUCCAGGUUCGACCUUGAUAAAAACCAGUUUGCAGUCUUUGACCCAGGGCUCCUGCUAUGCUCACAGUACAUGCUCUCAUCUGUCAGGUCAACAGCAGAGCACCAUCCCCUGCGUGAGUGAAGAGGAACUGGCCAAGUUUGUGUCUCUGACUCCUCUGUCCAAAACACUGCAGGAAAUAAAGGAAUCACUCCAGACACUCGCCCACACAUCCGACACAGAGGACGUAAUUAUCAGCCCAGCAGAGGGUGAACCAUCUGACCUGAUCCCUGUUGCCCUUGACAGCCUUUCCCCACAGCAUUUUGCUAUCUUCCUGUUUGGCUGCCAUGUUGUGCGUUUACUGAGCAGAGCUUGUUCCUUCCCCUCUGUCGUGCUGCUAUUGGCCAGGACGGUGCCAGUCUCUCACUGUGAUAACCUGCUGGCCUACUGCCAUAAAGACUUUUAUUACGACACAGCCAAUCAAAUUCUGUACAUCCUAGAGAGGAAGCUUCAAAAUGCUGGCCAGUUCAUCUCCAUUCUCUUACACUCAAUGGCCUAUAUCACCUCAGGCUCAAAAUCUCUUGAAUUCAUGAAAGCCUUCCACUUGGCCAUUUCAGCAUUAAGCAUGCAGUUGUUUCAUCACUGUUUCACUGAGGAUCAGAGGAAAAUAAAGGUAAGACUUGUGUUUGAAAUAUAUACAAUAUAA
ensembl:lncRNA